GCCAGCAUGGUGGAGUGGUUUUCAUAUUGGACUAUGACUCUGGAGACCAGGGUUUGAUUCCCAGUUUGGCC